UGGGCUCCACUGGCAAUAAAUACACCACACCUUGACUGACUCUCAGGUGUGGCAAUGUGUCCGCGCAAUUAUGAGUUCAGCAAAGCCAUAACGUUUACCUCUUUCACUGAAAAGUUACUGUACUUUUACAAAGACAUUGAAAAGUUUGUCGGCCCGUGAACCAAAUACCAUCAACAAGGUAACGUUACACAUUCGUUGCUUCGUAUUCUACAUGCAUUCCUGUCUCAAGUUGUGUUUACCACUUCAUCGCAUGAAUCUAAGCAAGACAAACGUGGUGAUAUUGGAGCAGUUUAAAUGUGUUCUUACUGCUACUAUCAGGAAACUUGGCACUGUGAACCUACACAGCAACAACAUGGAGCAAAGAGAGGAGGCGCAAGAAGAGGAGAAGGACAUUUACAUUCCCAGGUCACCUCCCAGGAAUGCUCAUGGCACAAAUGAAGUCUUUGGGAACCCCACAUUAGCUGCUGAUGACAGACCAGCCCCGCCCAGCAGCCUGGCUCUGAUGGAGCCCCGACCCAGGAAGAAACGCCUGAUGGCCCCUGCACUAAGUCUGACACUGGAGCGCAGUGACUCGGCGGUGUCCGACGACUAUGCCACAGCUGCCCUCAUUCCCUCCCCCGACGACGACGACCUGAGACUGGACAUCGACUUGGACGCUAUGGAAACACCCUCGGACAGCGAGUCCCUCCACUUUCCAGUGCACGACAUGGAUUUGGAGGAUGACCUGCUUCAUCUGGGAGUGGCAUCACGUUGCCAUAAGGCCCGUGGGUCAGUACCAGAGCAGAUGGGAGUGGGCUCUCUUGACCAAGACCAGGUGGACAGCCAGGGCACUAGGUGGCGCAGGUUCUGCAUGGGAGACCCUCCUCAGGAGAGUCUGGUCAACAUGAGUGUACUGGAGCCUUACCUUCAAGUCUUGUCCCAUGGGGGUUACUAUGGAGAUGGGUCUAAUGACAUCAUUGUGUUCUCUUCCUGCUAUCUCCCUGAAAACACCAUGGAGAACUACCAGCAUGUCAUGGACAACCUAUUCAGGUACAUUGUGGGAACGUUGGACCUGAUGGUGGCGGAGAACUACGUCAUUGUGUACCUGUGUGCCAUGGCCCAGCGCAACAAGCUCCCCGGCAUUGGCUGGCUCAGAGAGUGUUACACCACCAUUGACAGAAGGUUGAGGAAGAAUCUGAAAGCUCUAUACAUUGUCCACCCGACCUGGUACAUCAAGGCCCUGAUCACCAUCAUCAAGCCCUUCAUCAGGUGAGGACCACCAUCCCCUGAGACACCAAGUCCAGUCUGUCAGGGUUGCUGUUGUUGCUCCAAAUUCGGUCGCAAGCUUCAGUUUAUGGACAGAUUUCGGGAGCUGUCCCAGCACAUCCCUAUUGAGCGUGUGCAGAUCCCUGACUGUGUCAGACAGUUUGACGAGAACAUGGACAGGUGACACACUCAGAAUGGUGAUCUGGAACACGGUGUAAGGUUAGGUACAUGAAGCCAAAAAAGUGGACUAAAAAGGCUCAAAUCUGGCAACCCAUGACUUUGAAACUGAGGAUGAACCUGGCUGCCCAAUCUGAUAUCUGUUGUCCUAUGAGAUAACUUUAGUCAUACAUCACUUGGCAAAGUAUCUACUGAAGGACCACAAGUAGAUGCACUGAGUGUACAAAAACUUUAUGAACACCUGCUCUUUCCAUGACAUAAUGUCGACUGACCAGGUGAAAGCUAUGAUCCAUUAUUGAUGUCACUUGUUAAAUACACUUCAGUCAGUGUUGAUGAAGGGGAAGAAACAGGUUAAAGAAGGAUUUGGGCAAGACAAAAGAUUAAAGUGCCAGGCGCACCAGUUCGUGUCAAGAACUGCAAUGCUGCGGAGUUUUUCAUGCUCAACUGUGUCCCGUGUGUAUCAAAAAUGGUCCACCAUCCAAAGGACAUCCAGCCAACAUUACACAACUGUGGGAAGCAUUGGAGUCAACAUGGGCUAGCAUCCCUGUGGAAUGUUCGACACCUUGUAGAGUCCAUGUCCCAACGAAUUGCGGCUGUUCUGAGGGCAAAGUGAGGGUGCAACUCAAUAUUAGGAUGUUCUUGCUGUUUUGUACACUCAGUUGUGAGUACAUUGUAACAAUGUGUACAUACACUAAUUAUUACAUUACUAUCUACCAUGUACAGUGGCGACCGGUCAUUCAGGGCAAGUGGGGCAGAGCCCCAGCUGUUUUGAGCCCAACAUUUUUGGGGCUUUCCUGUUUUGCAUGUUAUUAUGGCGUUAAUACUUGUCACAUAUCAGUUUGCAAACAAUGUAAAAAAUAUAUCAUUGAGUUAAUAAAGCUGCAUACAAACAUGGCCUCUUUUUUGUUUUCUUGAGUAAGUCAGCUCCAAAAAACCGGUGUUUCAGCUUAGCUCAGUGUUUUCUGUGGUGGUGGGGCAAGCCAGCAG